GCCCAUAUGGUUGGGACCAUAUCUAUCUUUAAAUUUUCAUAGAAUGUUAAUACUUUCGUAACCUAUUUUCUGGCAUCACAUAUUUUGUCCUGCUUUUUUAGAUUUUGUAGAACUCGUAUUAUAUUUAGGUUUAAUGAGAACUACAUAAAAAAUGAGUUAAAUUUGGGCCUGAUCCUGUCUAAGAGACUCAAUGGAGCCUUCGAUAAAUAGAACCAGGCCUCUUUAGCACUAGAGCCCAGAUAUGGGUUGCAAAAUUUUUACUUGAUCUACUACCAUGUCAUCUUUUUUAUUUUUUCUUUUGUUUAUUAACUAAAAUAGAUGGAAGACCAACCAAAAUCGAGCAGAAGCAUGAUUCAAACUAGGAGUGUCAAUGGGU
rnacentral:lncRNA from 1 species